ensembl:lncRNA
GGUCCCUAUGGGACCCUAUGAGUCUCUAUGGGGCUCUACGUGUCCCUAUGGAGGACCUAUGGGUCUCUAUGGGUCCCUAUGGGACUCUUUGGGGCUCUGUGUGUCCCUAUUGGGGACCUAUGGGUCUCUAUGGGUCCCUAUGGGGCUCUAUGGGGCUCUAUGGGGUCCCCAUGGGGCUCUAUGGUGUUCUUUGGGUUCCUAUGGGGACCUAUGGGGCUCUGUGUGUCCCUAUGGGGGACCUAUAGGUCUCUAUGGGUUUCUAUGGAUCCCUAUGGGGCUCUAUGGGGCUCCAUGUGUCCCUAUGGGUCUCUAUGCAGAUCUAUGGGGCUCUAUGGGUCCCUAUGUGGGACCCCCCGUCUCUAUGGGUCCCUAUGUGUCUCUAUGGGUCCCUAUGGGGCUCUAUGUGUCCCUGUGCAUAUCUAUGAGGAUCUAUGGGGCUCUAUGUUUCCCUAUGGGGAACCUAUGGGGCUCUAUGGGGCUCUAUGUGUCUCUGUGGGUCUCUAUGAGUUACUAUGUGUCCCUAUGUGUCCCUAUGGGUCUCUAUGGCUCCCUAUGUGUCUCUAUGGGGCUCUAAGGGUCCCUAUGUGGGACCUAUGGGUCCGUAUGGGGAUCUAUGGGGCUCUGUGUGUCCCUAUGGGGGACCUAUAGGUCUCUAUGGGUUUCUGCGGGUCCCUAUGGGUCCCUAUGGGUCUCUAUGGGGAUCUAUGGGUCCCUAUGUGGGAUUUAUGGGUCCCUAUGGGACCCUAUCAGUCUCUAUGGGGCUCUAUGUGUCCCUAUGGGGGCUGUAUGGGUCUCUAUGGGUCCCUAUGGGUCUAUAUGGCUCUCUAUGGGGAUCUAAGGGGCUCUAUGUGUCACUAUGUGGGACACCCCUGUCUCCGUGGGUUCCUAUGGGACACUAUGGGUCUCUAUGGGUCUCUAUGGGUCUCUAAGGGUCCCUAUGGGUCUCUAUGUGUCCCUAUGGGUCUCUAUGGGUCCGUAUGGGGAUCUAUGGGGUUCUGUGUGUCCCUAUGGGGGACCUAUAGGUCUCUAUGUGUUUCUAUGGGUCCCUAUGGGUCCCUUUGGUCCCUAUGAGUCUCUAUGUGUCCCUAUGGGUCUCUGUGGGUCCCUAUGGGACCCUAUGGGUCGCUAUGGGUCCCUAUUGGUCUCUAUGGGGCCCCUAUGCGUCCCUAUGGGUCUCUAUGGGUCCCUAUGGGUCUCUAUGUGUCUCUAUGGGGCUCUGUGUCCAUGUGUGAGACCUAUGGGUCUCUAUGGGUCUCUAUGGGUCUCUAUGGGCCUCUAUGGGGCACUGUGUAUCCCUAUGGGGGACCUCAGGGUCUCAAUGGGUCUCUAUGGGGUAUCUAUGGGGUAUCCAUGGGGCAGCUACGGGGGUAUCGAUGGGGUACCUAUGGGGUAUCCAAGGGAUCUCUAUGGGGUAUAUAUGGGGCAGCUAUGGGGUACCUAUGGGUUAUCCAUGGGCUCACCAUGGGGUCUCUAUGGGGUCUCUAUGGGGCAUCCAUGGGGCAGCCAUGGGGUAUCCAUGGGGUACCCAUGGGGUAUCCAUGGGGUAUCCAUGGGGGCUCUAUGGAUACACUAUGGGGUCUCAAUGGGGUCUCUAUAGGGUACUUAUGGGGUACCUAUGGGGUAUCCAUGGGGUAUCCAUGGGGGCUCUAGGGGCACACUAUGGGGUCUCUACGGGGUAUCUGUGGGGUCUCAAAGGGGUAUCCAUGGGGCAGCCAUGGGGUUCCCAUAGGGUACCUAUGGGGUAUCCAUGGGAUCUCUAUAGGGUACUUAUGGGUUACCUAUGGGGUAUCCAUGGGGUAUCCAUGGGGGUUCUACGGGCACACUAUGGGGUCUCAAUGGGGUCUCUAUGGGGUAUCCAUGGGGCAGCCAUGGGGUAUCCAUGGGGUAUCCAUGGGGUCUCUAUGGGAUAUCCAU